UGUCCAGGUUUGGGGCAUGAACCUGGCAUACAAUGUAGAUUUCUGUGUUUGUUAAGCAACAGCUACAUUGUCUGCUGGGUUUCCAGCUGCCUGGAA
rnacentral:pre_miRNA from 1 species